AGGGAUCAUUACACAAAUAUGAAGGCGGGCUGGAACCUCUCGGGGUUACAGCCUUGCUGAAUUAUUCACCCUUGUCUUUUGCGUACUUCUUGUUUCCUUGGUGGGUUCGCCCACCACUAGGACAAACAUAAACCUUUUGUAAUUGCAAUCAGCGUCAGUAACAAAUUAAUAAUUACAACUUUCAACAACGGAUCUCUUGGUUCUGGCAUCGAUGAAGAACGCAGCGAAAUGCGAUAAGUAGUGUGAAUUGCAGAAUUCAGUGAAUCAUCGAAUCUUUGAACGCACAUUGCGCCCUUUGGUAUUCCAAAGGGCAUGCCUGUUCGAGCGUCAUUUGUACCCUCAAGCUUUGCUUGGUGUUGGGCGUCUUGUCUCUAGCUUUGCUGGAGACUCGCCUUAAAGUAAUUGGCAGCCGGCCUACUGGUUUCGGAGCGCAGCACAAGUCGCACUCUCUAUCAGCAAAGGUCUAGCAUCCAUUAAGCCUUUUUUUCAACUUUUGACCUCGGAUCACGUAGGGAUACCCGCUGAACUUAAGCAUAUCAAUAAGCGGAGGAAUC
rnacentral:rRNA from 1 species